rnacentral:tRNA from 1 species
CUCAUAGCUCAGCCGGUAGAGCACUAGACUUUUAAUCUAGGUGUCCCGGGUUCGAACCCCGGUG